rnacentral:rRNA from 1 species
CCUACGGGAGGCAGCAGUGGGGAAUAUUGCACAAUGGGGGAAACCCUGAUGCAGCGACGCCGCGUGAGUGAAGAAGUAUUUCGGUACGUAAAGCUCUAUCAGCAGGGAAGAAAAUGACGGUACCUGACUAAGAAGCCCCGGCUAACUACGUGCCAGCAGCCGCGGUAAUACGUAGGGGGCAAGCGUUAUCCGGAUUUACUGGGUGUAAAGGGAGCGUAGACGGCCAGACAAGUCAGAAGUGAAAGCCCAGGGCUCAACCCUGGGACUGCUUUUGAAACUGCCGGGCUGGAGUGCAGGAGAGGUAAGCGGAAUUCCUAGUGUAGCGGUGAAAUGCGUAGAUAUUAGGAGGAACACCAGUGGCGAAGGCGGCUUACUGGACUGUAACUGACGUUGAGGCUCGAAAGCGUGGGGAGCAGACAGGAUUAGAUACCCCAGUAGUC